UCGCCUUUAUAUCCCAUUGUCUCUCAAAUCCUCUCGAAGAUUCUUCAGAACCCUAACUGUCUCCGACCUUUUUUCCUCCGUACUUUCACCGGAAUCUAUGGCUUCUCAAGCCAUGGAUGGUCUACACUCACCCCCUUACACCAUUAGACCAUGUUUGUUUGAAGCUUUGAGGCCUGACCUCGAUGGUUCUCCAAUAGACCUUCUUAAGUCUAUGGUUCUAUGGUUUCUCUGGCCUGUGCUCCGGCAUAUUCAAGCCUUAGAGGACCUGAUUCUACCUCUCCAGCUCAAGAUCAGGAUUUCUUCCAAGUCUUUCUCAUUUCAAGGGUUUCUUCGAAACCAUAAGCUACUCGAAUUUUUUCUCUGUUAUUUUCUUUGAUAUAUGUUGUAUCUGUGAUUUACUCAACUUUUAAAGUGUUUUCCCCAAAUUUUCUUUUGAAAAUCAUUUGUUUCGAUUUAGGGUUUCUAAAAGGUUUUUAAAAUAUCUAUUUGAUUCUUUAUGCUCUUCUCUUUGUGUGUGUUUGUCUAUGUUAUGCUCGUAUGUUAUCUUUUCUAUCACACAUGUGUUUGCUCUUCUGUUUUUCUUUCUAUUAUACAUGAUUCUUCUAUACAUCUGUAUUUUACUGUGCCUCUAGACCAAGCUCGCAUGAUUAUCUCUGUUAUGUUUUCCUACAUGAUUUCUAUUGUAUGCCUGCUGAGUUCUUUUAUUUUUGUUUUCUUUACUGGACUUUGUCCAAAUUUUGCUAAGUAUGUUUCAUCUACUACUGCUUAAGUUUACACCAUCUCUUUUCUUUUGAAGUUGCUUAAGUUCCAACUUUUCUAAAAGAUGCUCUUUUAUGCUUAUAAAUUAGCUUUCUUUAUUUGUUGUCAAACUUGCUAUCAUAUUUGUUGGUUUCUCACGAGUCUCUAAUAGAGACCUCUGAGUCUGUUUCAAUGGUUUGACGUCUCAUCUCUGUAUUUGAUUCGAGUUGAAACCCUAGAAUUUGAGGGGUUUUCUUUGGUAAGUUCGAUUUUGUGUUUGGACUAGGGUUCUACUUUGAAACCACAAACUCUCAGACUCAUUCUAAGUCUAUAGAUUGGACCUGAACCUUUUAUGAUUGUUUCUAUAAUAAUCUUUUCUAACCAGCAUGAAAACUCCCUCUUGUUGAUAUUUGUGUGCUUUAUAUAUGAGAAGAUUAUCUUUUAGAAAAGGUCUUGCCAAUUAUUGAUUGAUUUCGAAUUCUUUUAGUAAGGGUUGAUUAAUUGUUAUUGAUUUUCCUUAAGUAAAACCCUUUCCUCUCUUUUCCUGACUUGGUUCAUUCGAACAAAGCC
rnacentral:lncRNA from 1 species